rnacentral:rRNA from 1 species
UGCAUGUAGGGCACAUGGUGGAUGCCUCGGCGGCUGGGGCCGAGGAAGGACGCGGCCGAGCGGCGAAACGCCCCGGGGAGUCGCGGGCAGGCGGAGAUCCGGGGGUAUCCGAAUGGGGCAACCUGCCUGGGGUGAUGCCCAGGCGCCCGUCACUGAAUCGAUAGGUGGCGGGCGGGCACCGGGGGAAGUGAAACAUCUCAGUACCCCGAGGACGAGAGAGGAUUCCCGGAGUAGUGGCGAGCGAAACGGGAGGAGCCCAAACCAGGCGCGCGGACAUGGCUGGCCGGCCGAAGCGCGACUGGGGUUGGACGGCCCACCAGGCCGGGGCGGCCACCCCGGCGCGGAGUGAGCAACCGUCGUUCGAGCCGAACGCUGCUGGAAGGGGCGACCGGAGGGGGUGAGAGUCCCGUAGGCGAGUGGGCGACGGCUCCGGGUGGGUGCGUGAGUACCGCGGGACACGGGCAAUCCCGCGGGAAGCUGGGGGGACCACCCUCCAAGGCUAAACACCCCAGCCGACCGAUAGUGGACGAGUACCGUGAGGGACGGGUGAAAAGGACCCCGGCGAGGGGGGUGAAAGAGCGCCUGAACCCAUGUGCCCCCAGCCGGUCGGAGCCUGGUGAAGACCAGGUGACGGCGUGCCUAUUGGAGCAUGACCCGGCGAGUGGUCGUCCGUGGCGAGGCGAAGGGAGCGUCACCCGGAGCCGGAGCGAAGGCGAGUCUGAGAAGGGCGGCAAAGUCGCGGGCGGCCGACCCGAAACCCGGUGAGCUACCCAUGGCCAGGCUGAAGCGCGGGUAAGACCGCGUGGAGGGCCGCACCGGUGUCGGUUGCAAACGGCUCGGAGGAGCUGUGGGUAGGGGUGAAAUGCCAAGCGAACCGGGAGAUAGCUGGUUCUCCCCGAAAUGGCUUGAGGGUCAGCCUCGGCGCGGGCGCCAGCGGAGGUAGAGCACUGGUUCGGUGCGGGGGCUUGCCGCCUACCAAGUCGAGCCAACCUCCGAAGGCCGCUGGCGGGGCGCCGGGAGUGAGACUGUGGGCGAGAAGGUCCAUGGUCGAGAGGGGAACAGCCCAGACCGCCGGCUAAGGUCCCCAAGUGUGGGCUGAGUGGGCAAGGAGGUGCGGGUGCCCAGACAACCAGGAGGUUGGCUUAGAAGCAGCCAUCCUUGAAAGAGUGCGUAACAGCUCACUGGUCGAGUGCCCGUGCACCGACGAUGUCACGGGGCGAAGCCCACCACCGAGGCCGCGGGUCCAGCCAGCGCUCCGGCGCUGGCUGGGCGGUAGGGGAGCGUCGCCGUCGGCGGGGAAGGGGGGUCGGGAGGCCCCCUGGAGCGGCGGCGAGUGCGAAUGCCGGGACGAGUAGCGCGAGGGCGGUGCGAAUCCGCCCCACCGAAUGCCGAAGGGUUCCGCAGCGAUGCUCGUCAGCUGCGGGUGAGGCGGGCCUAAGCCGAGGGCGACGGCCGUAGGCGAUGGACAGCCGGUCAACAGUCCGGCCCCACGGUCUGGCGUGAUGAGCGAUGGGGGGACGCAGCGGGGCAGGCCCAGCGGUCAGCGCGACCGUCCAAGCGGGGUAGGGAAGCCGCCGCGGCAAAUCCCGGCGGCCGUGCCUGAGCCGCGAGUGCGAGGGGGGCCGACAGGCCCCGCCGAGUGGGCUGCGCCUGGGCUGCCGCGAAAAGCCUCUAGCCAGCCAGGCCGUGCCCGUACCGCAGACCGACACAGGUCGGCAGGUCGAGCAGACCCAGGUGGACGGGUGAGCCCUCGUCAAGGAACUCGGCAAGUUGACCCCGUAACUUCGGGAGAAGGGGUGCCCCGGGUAGGGUGUCGCGCAGGCGAUGCCCGAGGGGGUUGCAGCGAAGCGGCCCACGCGACUGGUUACCAAAACCACAGGUCUCUGCGAAGGCGGGAAGCCGACGUAUAGGGGCUGACGCCUGCCCAGUGCCGGAAGGUUAACCGGAGGGGUGGUGAGCCCCGAAGGGAAGCCCCGGUAAACGGCGGCCGUAACUAUAACGGUCCUAAGGUAGCGAAAUUCCUUGUCGGGUAAGUUCCGACCCGCACGAAAGGCGUCACGACGUGGGCGCUGUCUCGACGAGGGGCCCGGCGAAACUGCAGGACCCGUGCAGAUGCGGGUGACCCGCGGCAGGACAAAAAGACCCCGUGGAGCUUGACUCCAGCUUGCCAUCGCGUGUGGGCCGGGCCUGUGCAGGAUAGGUGGGAGGCGGGGAAGCGGGGCCGCCAGGUCCCGUGGAGCCGGCGGUGAAAUACCACCCUGGUCGGGUCUGCGCGCUCACCCCGCGCCGUGAGCCGGGCGGGGGACGGUGGCUGGUGGGGAGUUUGACUGGGGCGGUCGCCUCCUAAAGGGUAACGGAGGCGCCCAAUGGUCCCCUCAGGCCGGAGGGCAAUCGGCCGGAGCGUGCAACGGCAGCAAGGGGGCUUGACUGCGAGGGGGACAUCCCGAGCAGGGCCGAAAGGCGGGCGUAGUGACCCCACGGCGCCUGGUGGAGGGGCCGUGGAUCAACGGAUAAAAGCUACCCCGGGGAUAACAGGCUGAUCGGGCCCAAGAGUUCACAUCGACGGCCCGGUUUGGCACCUCGAUGUCGGCUCGUCGCAUCCUGGGGCUGGAGG